rnacentral:rRNA from 1 species
GAUGGGAGCUUGCUCCCUGAUGUUAGCGGCGGACGGGUGAGUAACACGUGGGUAACCUGCCUGUAAGACUGGGAUAACUCCGGGAAACCGGGGCUAAUACCGGAUGGUUGUCUGAACCGCAUGGUUCAGACAUAAAAGGUGGCUUCGGCUACCACUUACAGAUGGACCCGCGGCGCAUUAGCUAGUUGGUGAGGUAACGGCUCACCAAGGCGACGAUGCGUAGCCGACCUGAGAGGGUGAUCGGCCACACUGGGACUGAGACACGGCCCAGACUCCUACGGGAGGCAGCAGUAGGGAAUCUUCCGCAAUGGACGAAAGUCUGACGGAGCAACGCCGCGUGAGUGAUGAAGGUUUUCGGAUCGUAAAGCUCUGUUGUUAGGGAAGAACAAGUGCCGUUCAAAUAGGGCGGCACCUUGACGGUACCUAACCAGAAAGCCACGGCUAACUACGUGCCAGCAGCCGCGGUAAUACGUAGGUGGCAAGCGUUGUCCGGAAUUAUUGGGCGUAAAGGGCUCGCAGGCGGUUUCUUAAGUCUGAUGUGAAAGCCCCCGGCUCAACCGGGGAGGGUCAUUGGAAACUGGGGAACUUGAGUGCAGAAGAGGAGAGUGGAAUUCCACGUGUAGCGGUGAAAUGCGUAGAGAUGUGGAGGAACACCAGUGGCGAAGGCGACUCUCUGGUCUGUAACUGACGCUGAGGAGCGAAAGCGUGGGGAGCGAACAGGAUUAGAUACCCUGGUAGUCCACGCCGUAA